ACCUGAAAAAAAAAGAUAAAAAUCUAAGUUAACUUCAAAUUAUCUCAGAGUUCAAAUCAAACGUAUUCUGGUCCAUAUGUAUCACUAUGACGCCAGCUCAUUGAAUGAAAUUUCUGUUACAGGUGGCCAGCAUCAAAUCCAGGCACAUCCCUUUUGACAAGAAGCAGCAUCACUUCUUAUUUUACAACAAUUGUACCAUACAAAUGAAAUAAAUAGCAGCAUUACUGUGGCCAGCAUCAAGUCCAGGCACAUCCCUUUGGACAAGAAGCAGCAUCACUUCCUAUUUUACUACAAUUGUACCAUACAAAUGAAAUAAAUAGCAGCAUUAC